UAAGCAUAUCAAUAAGCGGAGGAAAAGAAAAUAACAAUGAUUCCCCUAGUAACGGCGAGUGAAGAGGGAAAAGCUCAAAGUUGGAACCUGGUGGGCAUAGCUCACCCGGAUUGUAAACUAAAGUUUUUGAGUCGUUUAGUCAGCCAGGUAAAUAAGUCCUCUGGAAAGGGGCGACAUAGAGGGUGAAAUCCCCGUCUUUGGCCUGAGUUUUGAUUAGGCGUUUGGCUUGGAAACGAAGAGUCAGGUUGUUUGGGAAUGCAGCCUAAAAUGGGAGGUAAAUCUCUCCUAAAGCUAAAUAUUGACGAAAGACCGAUAGCGAACAAGUACCGUGAGGGAAAGAUGAAAAGCACUUUGAAAAGAGGGUCAAAAAGUACGUGAAAUUGCUGAAAGGGAACCGUAUGAAAUCAGACUUACUGGUAGGUAAUCAAUCUUUCCCUUGGGAAGGAUGCACUUGCCUGCUAUGUACGCCAGCGACAUUUUGGUUGUGGAGGAAAAAAAUAGUUGGAAUGUAGCCUGGGUUUCGGCUUAGGUGUUAUAGACUACUAUAAAAUACUCUCGGCUAGAAUGAGGAACGCAGCAAACCGUAAGGCGAAGAUUUUAGGCGCUUGGGGGGAAUCAUUAGAGAAUUUCUGCUUCGGGUGGUGCUUUAGUGAUUUCGUUCAACUCGUUUGAAUUUCUUUUUAUUGCUUA
rnacentral:rRNA from 1 species